CCUACGGGUGGCAGCAGUGGGGAAUAUUGGGCAAUGGGCGCAAGCCUGACCCAGCAACGCCGCGUGAAGGAAGAAGGCUUUCGGGUUGUAAACUUCCUUUAAGAGGGAAGAGAAGAAGACGGUACCUCUUGAAUAAGCCACGGCUAACUACGUGCCAGCAGCCGAGGUAAUACGUAGGGGGCAGGCGUUGUCCGGAUUUCCUGGGUGAAAAGGGCGUGUAGCCGGGCUGACAAGUCAGAUGUGAACUCCGGGGGCUCAAACCCCGAACUGCAAUUGAAACUGUUGGUCUUGAGUAUCGGAGAGGCAGGCGGAAUUCCUAGUGUAGCGGUGAAAUGCUUAGAUAUUAGGUAGAACACCAGUGGCGAAGGCGGCCUGCCGGACGACAACUGACGGUGAGGCGCGAGAGCGUGGGGAGCAAACAGGAUUAGAUACCCGAGUAGUC
rnacentral:rRNA from 1 species